CGGGGUGCAGCAGGCGCGAAAACUUUGCAAUGCGGGAAACCGUGACAAGGGAACUCUGAGUGCCCGUAAAAUCGGGCUGUCCAUCGGUUUAAAUAACCGGUGAAGAAAGGGCCGGGCAAGACCGGUGCCAGCCGCCGCGGUAAUACCGGCGGCUCGAGUGGUGGCCACUAUUACUGGGCUUAAAGCGUUCGUAGCUGGUCUGUUAAGUCUCUGGGGAAAUCUUCCGGCUUAACCGGAAGGCGUCUCAGGGAUACUGGCAGACCAGGGACUGGGAGAGGUGAGAGGUACUCCAGGGGUAGGAGUGAAAUCCUGUAAUCCUUGGGGGACCACCUGUGGCGAAGGCGUCUCACCAGAACGGCUCCGACAGUGAGGGACGAAAGCUGGGGGAGCAAACCGGAUUAGAUACCCGGGUAGUCCCAGCUGUAAACGAUGCGCGUUAGGUGUAUCGGUGACCACGAGUCACCGAGGUGCCGAAGAGAAAUCGUGAAACGUGCCGCCUGGGAAGUACGGUCGCAAGGCUGAAACUUAAAGGAAUUGGCGGGGGAGCAC
rnacentral:rRNA from 1 species